rnacentral:rRNA from 1 species
GUCGUGCGCGAAGCCUUCGGGCGAGUAAAGCGGCGAACGGGUGAGUAACACGUAAUCAACCUACCCUCGAGAUCGGAAUAACCACUGGAAACGGUGGGUAAUGCCGAAUGGUCCCACGGAGAGGCAUCUCUUUGUGGGUAAACGGUAGCUCUGCUACUGCUUGGGGAGGGGAUUGCGGCCUAUCAGCUUGUUGGUGGGGUAACGGCCUACCAAGGCAAUGACGGGUAGCUGGUCUGAGAGGACGACCAGUCACACUGGGACUGAGACACUGCCCAGACUCCUACGGGAGGCUGCAGUCGAGAAUCUUCCGCAAUGGGCGAAAGCCUGACGGAGCGACACCGCGUGUAGGAUGAAGGCCCUCGGGUUGUAAACUACUGUCACGCUAUAGGAAACCCCUGUCGUUAAUAGCGCCAGGGCUGACCAAAGCGAGAGGAAGCACCGGCUAACUCCGUG